rnacentral:rRNA from 1 species
GUAUGUGAUCGUCUCUCGCAUAUCAAUAAGCGGAGGAAAAGAAACUAACAAGGAUUCCCCUAGUAACGGCGAGUGAAGCGGGAAGAGCUCAAAUUUGAAAUCUUAAAGGGUUUCCCUUUACGAAUUGUAGUUUAAAGAAGUGUUUUCUGUGGAGGUUUUGGUAAAAGUUCUUUGGAAUAGGACAUCAUAGAGGGUGAGAAUCCCGUAUUUGACCUUUACUUUCAACUUUGUGAUACACUUUCAAAGAGUCGGAUUGUUUGGGAAUGCAGUCCAAAAUGGGGGGUAAAUUUCAUCUAAAGCUAAAUAUUGGCGAGAGACCGAUAGCGAACAAGUACCGUGAGGGAAAGAUGAAAAGAACUUUGAAAAGAGAGUUAAACAGUACGUGAAAUUGUCAAAAGGGAAGCGUUUGACACCAGUGUUGUUUUUCUGAAAAUCAAUUAAAGAACUGUUUAUGCUAAGCUUAUUUAGACUUUAUCAGCUAACUGUUUAGUUUUGAGCUUUUCUUUAAUGCACUUUUCAGUUAACUAGUCAACAUCAAUUUCUUUUGCUGUAAAAAAGCUUGAGGAAGGUGGCUUGAGAUUCGUCUUAAGUGUUCAUAGCCUCUUGCCUAUGCAGUCGGAGAGAUUGAGGUCUGCAGCGUAGAUCCUUCGGGGCUAAAUGCAUUUGUGCUAAGUUCAUAGCAUUUUAUAGACAACUUGUUGACUAUGAUUUGUCUUGUAGCUUACUCGCUUAUGUUAUUUUACCUACGCUUAGGAUGUUGACACACGCGCGUGCUCG